GUGCAAACAAAAUGAAAUUGUGGAGCAGCAGCAACCUUCCAGUCAGUAGAUGGCGCCCUCGAGCUACAGCCACCCCACAUUAAAGGAGCCGCACUAAUGAAGUCAGACUAGCAUGUCCCACACCGAGUCAUCACAGGACAGGUUUAGCUCCGAAUGAGUUGUCUGCUCACAGUACGCCGACCAUGAGGUGGUGCGGUCAGCGAAAUGGGAACAAAUAUGUGCUUUUGCCUCCAGCACCCAAAGAUAGACUUUUAUUGCUGUUGUCUGCUAUGUGCAGCCACAGCUGUGCUUCAUCCCUGGAGUUCAGUGCUUUGGUUCAUGUUUGAGUGAUUCCUGACUCAGCAUCAGUGAAGCAGCAGAGUCCAACAAAGGAGGACAGCCUGCAGAGCUGCUGUUCAGGGCUCAAAGUCUACAACAUACAAACAUGUUAAACAACGUGCACAUGAUACAACUACAAGGAGGCCACUGUGGUUGAGAAUAACUGGAGUGAUGCUGAGACCGGAAUAACUGAAACAUGGAAUGGCAUCCCGACACAUGAACAUGUGGAUCUUCAGUUCCACAGACGUACGUGAGCAGCUGCUCUCUACGCCUCACGGACGACAGCGUGAACUUCAUACAGUAUCGAUUUGGUUCAGGAGCGCACGUCCCAUUAACCAGGCUCUCUGCUGCUUGGCUCAGCAGUUCCACAACAGACGACAUGUUGGCGAGGAGACCGGACUCGCUGGACAGCCUGGCUGCCGACGUGUCGGCACCUUCUGAGG